rnacentral:tRNA from 1 species
GUAUCCAUAGCUCAGCUGGAUAGAGCAACAGCCUUCUAAGCUGUAGGUCGUGGGUUCGAAUCCCGCUGGAUACACCA